rnacentral:misc_RNA from 1 species
GAUGAAGAACGUAGCGAAAUGCGAUAAGUAGUGUGAAUUGCAGAAGUACCGUGAAUCAUCGAAUCUCUGAACGCAAAUUGCACUCUCUGGUAUUCCGGGGAGUAUGCCUGUUUGAGGGUCGCUUAACAAACCAUCGAUUUCGUUGCUUUUUUUUAAAAAGUAAUGUUUAUCGGAUUUGAGCCGUCUUUUUUUUUUAUAUUUAAGUGGCUUAAAAUUGAUUUUUUUGGUAUGAUCGAAGCGUAUUUUAUGAUCAAUUUUUGGUUAAAGAAACGCAUACGCGUACCGUUAUUUGUAUGAUGUAAUACGUUUGACUAUUGGAUUUAGUUCAUUCGUAUACGAUAUUUUUCAAUAUUUGACCUCAAAUCAGGUAAGAACACCCGCUGAACUUAAGCAUAUCAAUAAGCGGAGGA